GGUGCUUCAUACUGUGAAACAAGCUCUUACGAUCUAACAGGGGUCGAAGAAUGUUUUUCUUUGGCAAUUAGACUAUCCAUUGGUUUCAAAGAGAGUAAAAAGACGAAAGCUGCUUCAGGGAUUGUUGGACGAUUAUUUAAACGGAAGAAUAAGUCUCUCCCCACUGAACUUCUCCUGCCCUCUGCCGUACAUAGCAUGGAUGAAACUGGUCCAGAAAAAGAAAACGAAUGUGAAGAAACAGACAUAGCAUCAUUUCUAAGAAAAAUUAACCUUGGUUGUCUCAUAGAUAUUUUUGAACAAGAAAACAUUACAUUAAGCAUCUUAAGAGAAAUGACUCAUGACGAUUUGAAAGAGAUAGGAGUAAAAUCUUUUGGAAACCGUCACACACUUAUAAA